GUUUGUGUGUGCAUGUCCAUGCACAUGUCGCGUGCCUCCCCAGGCCGUGAACUCCGUGAGUCUGAAAACCCAGUCUUCCUCCUUCAUUUACAGAUGUCUCCUGACGCGGACAGUGACAAGCACUGGCCUGAUGCAGAAUCAUGUGCCCACCGUGUCACAUCCCGCACCCGCUAGAGCUCAAGCGUUUGAGGCCCGAGAUGGGAAGAUCCAUCUUCUGGACACUGACCAGAGAAAGGAGGGAGUGGGAGAUAAUGGUUCCCAUGGUAACAGUAGCUUCUGGUUGCUAAGCACCAAUUAUGAGCUGACAGAAGCUAAGGGUUUCACAAGCCUAUCGCCCCAAAGUCACUCCCAAGACCCCUGUGAGGAAGGAACGCUUAUCCUCCCCAUUUCAUGUCAGGAUACCAAGGCUCAGAGAGGGAAGUUGCUUUUGGUCAUGGUGUUUAUCACAGCAAUGGAAACCCAGCUGGACGGUGGACUUGGAGAUUGAAAAACCUUGUGCCACUUCAUUUCCUUUCUCUGCUUUGUGCUCUGUGGUUGAGGAUGUGAGCUCUCAGCUUCCCGCUCCGGCCACCAUGUCUGCCACCUGCUGCCACACUUCCCUGCGACAAUGGACUCCUAUCCCUCUGGAAUCAUAAACCUAAAUAAGCUCAUCUGUAAA